rnacentral:tRNA from 1 species
AGGGAUGUAGUUCAGUGGUAAAAUGUGUGCUUAGCAUGUACAAGGCCCUGGGUUCAACACUCACCACCUCAU